rnacentral:ncRNA from 1 species
AUAAAAGCUUGGAUAGAGCAAAGUAAAUAGUUACGGAAUCGGCUUAAGGGAAGAAGCGCCAGGGACUGGGAGCGUUUCUGCCGUGGUGACUGUUGAAAUUUCACUCUUGAGCUGACACCCAGGUGUCCGGAUGAUGAUCCGUUAUUCACAUAAAGUGGGCACUUUAGUGUCAACAAGGGUGGUACCGCGACCAUUAGCCUCGUCCCUUUU